AGGGUUAUAGCUUAAUCGGUAAAGCAUGCUGCUCAUAACAGUAAAAAUAAGUGUUCAAGUCACUUUAGCCCUA
rnacentral:tRNA from 6 species